rnacentral:rRNA from 1 species
AUUGAACGCUGGCGGCAGGCUUAACACAUGCAAGUCGAGCGGUAACAGAGAGAAGCUUGCUUCUCUGCUGACGAGCGGCGGACGGGUGAGUAAUGCCUAGGAAUCUGCCUAGUAGUGGGGGAUAACUUGCCGAAAGGUAAGCUAAUACCGCAUACGUCCUACGGGAGAAAGGAGGGGACCUUCGGGCCUUUCGCUAUUAGAUGAGCCUAGGUCGGAUUAGUUAGUUGGUGAGGUAAUGGCUCACCAAGACCGCGAUCCGUAACUGGUCUGAGAGGAUGAUCAGUCACACUGGAACUGAGACACGGUCCAGACUCCGACGGGAGGCAGCAGUGGGGAAUAUUGGACAAUGGGGAGAACCCUGAUCCAGCCAUGCCGCGUGUGUGAAGAAGGUCGUAGGAUUGUAAAGCACUUUAAGUUGGGAGGAAGAGCAGUUAACUAAUAUUUGACUGUUUUGACGUUACCGACAGAAUAAGCACCGGCUAACUUCGUGCCAGCCGCCGCGGUAA